GACGAACGCUGGCGGCGUGCUUAACACAUGCAAGUCGAACGGAAAGGCCCUGCUUUUGUGGGGUGCUCGAUUGACGAACGGGUGAGUAACACGUGAGUAACCUGCCCUUGACUUUGGGAUAACUUCAGGAAACUGGGGCUAAUACCGGAUAGGAGCUCCUGCUGCAUGGUGGGGGUUGGAAAGUUUCGGCGGUUGGGGAUGGAAUCGCGGCUUAUCAGCUUGUUUGUGGGGUAGUGGCGUACCAAGGCUUUGACGGGUAGGCGGCAUGAGAGGGUGACCGGCCACAUUGGGACUGAGAUACGGCCCAGAAGCCUACGGGAGGCAGCAGUGGGGAAUAUGGCACAAUGGGCGGAAGCCUGAUGCAGAAACGCUGCGUGCGGGAUGACGGCCUUCGGGUUGUAAACCGCUUUCGACUGUGACGAAGCGUGAGUGACGGUAAUGGGUAAAGAAGCACCGGCUAACUACGUG
rnacentral:rRNA from 1 species